rnacentral:rRNA from 1 species
AGCGAACGCUAGCGGCAUGCUUAAUACAUGCAAGUCGAACGAAGCCAAGUUUUGUAGCAAUACAAGAUGGAAGCUUAGUGGCGAACGGGUGAGUAAUAUAUAGGAAUCUGCCCAGUAGUGGGGGACAACAGUUGGAAACGACUGCUAAUACCGCAUACGUCCGAGAGGAGAAAGAUUUAUUGCUAUUGGAGGAGCCUAUACACGAUUAGCUUGUUGGUGAGAUAAAAGCCCACCAAGGCGACGAUCGUUAGCCGGUCUUAGAGGAUGAUCGGCCACAUUGGGACUGAGACACGGCCCAGACUCC